rnacentral:tRNA from 1 species
GCUCAGGUGGUGAAAUUGGCAGACACGCUGGAUUUAGGUUCCAGUGCCGAAAGGCGUAAGGGUUCAAGUCCCUUCCUGAGUACCA